CAGCCACGAUGGCAUGGCAGGGCCUAUCUGGAGUUUGGCCUUUGCAGGGGGGUAGAUGACACCCUUGUGUGUUCUAGGUCCUUUGAGAUACAUUAUCUCACUGAAGCCUCAGCAACUCCGCGGUGUUCCCAGAGGUGAGGAAACACACUGAGAGACAGAACACGACUUGACCAGGGCCACCCUGUGGGGCACGCUGGCACCUGCACAGCCCAGCUUCACCUGGUUCCAGCCCUGCCCGCGCUCUGCUCCCCACUUCCCGUAACCCUGGGCUGGCGUCAGCAGGCAGGCCUGCCAGGAGGCUGGAGCUGCCAACGACCUAUUUUUCUGGGCAAGAAGAGCCAUUUGGAGUUAGAGGUCUCAGCUGUGAAGCCAGAACAAUAAAAAUAAAAACAGCACGGACUCCUGGGCAGCCUGGACCAGGGAACCAACUGCCCCAAGAGUUGCUGCUCACCAGGCUGGAAGGUCCCAGGUGAUACUGACGCUACUGAUUCAGGGAUCACACUUUGAGAACCGCUGAAUAGACUGCCAUUCAAGCCAAGCCAAUCCUCUUGGCUCUACCUUCAAAAUAAACCCAGAAUCCAACCACUCCUUCCCACCUGCAUCACACUCCGGUCCCAGUACCUUCAUUUCUCACCUGGAUUAGUGCAGUCACUUCCUCACUGGCUCCGUACUUCCUGGACUCCCCACCUUGUUGCUUCUUCAAUAAAAGCCUCCCAAUGGCCUUCCACUCCUUCUCUUGGAGUAAAACCUGAAGUUCUCA
rnacentral:lncRNA from 10 species